AUUGAACGCUGGCGGCAGGCCUAACACAUGCAAGUCGAGCGGAGCGGCGGUCGGGUGAGUAAUGCUUAUGAAUCUGCCUGUUCGUGGUGGAUAACGUCCGCUAACGGGCGCUAUUACUGCAUCCUUUCAGUUGAGCCUAGGUCGGAUUAGCUAGUUGGUGUGGUAAAGGCCUACCAAGGCGACGAUCCGUAACUGGUCUGAGAGGAUGAUCAGUCACACUGGGACUGAGACACGGUCCAGACUCCUACGGGAGGCAGCAGUGGGGAAGAUUGGACAAUGGGCGAAAGCCUGAUCCAGCCAUGCCGCGUGUGUGAAGAAGGUCUUCGGAUUGUAAAGCACUUUAAGUUGGGAGGCGUUACCAACAGAAUAAGCACCGGCUAACUUCGUGCCAGCAGCCGCGGUAAUAC
rnacentral:rRNA from 1 species